rnacentral:rRNA from 1 species
GAUGAACGCUGGCGGCGCGCCUAACACAUGCAAGUCGAACGGCACCUGCCUUCGGGCAGAAGCGAGUGGCGAACGGCUGAGUAACACGUGGAGAACCUGCCCCCUCCCCCGGGAUAGCCGCCCGAAAGGACGGGUAAUACCGGAUACCCCGGGGUGCCGCAUGGCACCCCGGCUAAAGCCCCGACGGGAGGGGAUGGCUCCGCGGCCCAUCAGGUAGACGGCGGGGUGACGGCCCACCGUGCCGACAACGGGUAGCCGGGUUGAGAGACCGACCGGCCAGAUUGGGACUGAGACACGGCCCAGACUCCUACGGGAGGCAGCAGUGGGGAAUCUUGCGCAAUGGGGGGAACCCUGACGCAGCGACGCCGCGUGCGGGACGGAGGCCUUCGGGUCGUAAACCGCUUUCAGCAGGGAAGAGUCAAGACUGUACCUGCAGAAGA